CGUGCGUGCGUGCGUGCGUGCGUGCGUGCGUGCGUGUGUGUGUGUGCGUGGGGGGGUCCACAACAAAGUGCUGCAACGGGAACGACGAGACGAGAGACAGAGGAGAGUGUUUUCACCAGAACCCACAUUGGAUCCAGCACCUUUACGUGAUGAUAAAAGUUGGUCUGGGGAGAAAGCGGAGCCGUCGCAGCCUGAUCCUCAUCUUCAUCAUCAUCAUCUUGUCUCAAGUCUUGCAUCAUUUGCUGUCACCACAUAAUGUUGCAGAGCGUCAAAUUCACUAAUGAAAUUCCCACUUUUAUUUUGUAGUCUGGGACGGGAGCGUCUUUUCCUUCUGGAGCAUUGUGCUCAGCUCUAAAUGUGUCUCUUCUUUGUAGAAUCGAGCAUUGAAGCCCAAGAUAAAAUGAUACAGACAUAGAUUUUUUUUAAUAAACAUAAUUCAAUUUCAGAUCAUGGUUCUGUUCUCAGCUACUGAUCCUGUGAAGUCCCACCCGGUGUCCAGAGCCUGUUUCUACUGUAGCACACUGACAGAACCGAGCUUGAGGCUCGGACCCGAGUGUGCUGAGCAGGUACAAGCUUCCCCGCGGUGCGUCUGCGUGUCUGCCCCGUCGCUGAUCAUCAGGAGAACAACAGCAGCACACGUUCCCUCACACCCACUCCAUCAUCAGAGAUCCAGAGACCUCCAUCAUGUGGAAGCAGUUCUUAUUGCAGCUGAACAUUGGUUCAGUUUCAGUGCUUUACUUCCUGCCUCCAGCACCAUCACAUCACACACAAACUCAGCUGAAGCGUCCUUCAGGCCGAGGUCAAAGGUCGGUCCAGAAGCCUCCGUCCCGGUGAAGGUGCAGUGGUAAAGUGAAGCGGCGCCGGCUGCUCGUACGUCCAGUUAAUCGUGCAGACGCCGUGUGAAGCGCAGACAUUUGCUCCACGCAGCGAGAUGUGAAGUCAAUGAUGGGUUGUGUAAUAAUGGAAGCAUAUUUCUGCCUCAUUGAAGCUGCCAAAGCUCAGCUCACAGCUUCUCUCAGCUUCCACGCUCUGUGCCCGAUCCGCAUGGCAGCAUUUCAUUGGUCGGCAGGCGCCAACCUACGCGUGCGUCUGAGGGCGACGCCCGACAUGGAGGUCAAAGACAGACCAGGCUCCUGCACGAUGUGAAGGAUGAAAACAUGCUCUUUAUGCAGACGGCGCUGGAGGAGCUUGAGGCUUCGGACCAGAGCGGCCUCAGUGCGUGGGAAGCCGGGCCGAGCGGCACCGCUGGCUAGGCGACGCGGUCCCUCCUGGACCCGGACCCGAGGGACGCGGCUUCUGGUUCUGCUGCAGAACAGAGACUCUGAUGAAGUCACAUCCUGCUUUUUAGAUGUGUUUUACUGCAGCAGCUGAAGCACAAAGCGCUCAGGACAGUAACACAGACGCGGCCUUGGGAGCCGCAAAGAGAAGAAAGCGCCUCAGAAACGAGGAGAGUGCGAUCGAGCAGAGAAGCGCAUUCUCGCAACAUGAGUCACUUUCGAGUGAAAGCUUUGUAAUUUAAGCCACACACGGCGAAGGACGACGAGCGAUGGAUGGAACCGCGGCGCAGAUGCCGUCACCGGCUCCAGCUACCGAACCAGAGGUGGUCCAGUAUGUGGUGGACCCGGUUCCACCUCAUAGGUGACAGAACGUGGCCCUUCAGCCCUUUGUUUCCACUGUGGAAAUAAGACCCCGCUUCACACAGACACGAGCGGCGGCGGCGCUUCCUCUCAGACGCUGGACUAAAGAUGGCGGCGGCGCUUCCUCUCAGACGCUGGACUAAAGAUGGCGGCGGCGCUUCCUCUCAGACGCUGGACUAAAGAUGGCGGCGGCGCUUCCUCUCAGACGCUGGACUAAAGAUGGCGGCGGCGCUUCCUCUCAGACGCUGGACUAAAGAUGGCGGCGGCGCUUCCUCUCAGACGCUGGACUAAAGAUGGCGGCGGCGCUUCCUCUCAGACGCUGGACUAAAGAUGGCGGCGGCACUUUCCUCUCAGACGCUGGACUAAAGAUGGCGGCGGCGCUUCCUCUCAGACGCUGGACUAAAGAUGGCGGUGGGCGCUUCCUCUCAGACGCUGGACUAAAGAUGGCGGCGGCUUCGUGCAGCCGGUUGCUGGCUGCUGCCUCGAAGGCAGGCUCCACCAGCUCCUCACGGAUGGAGGCACUAGUGAGGAUCUGGGACCGCGUGGGAACAAAAACACAGACACGUGUCGUGAGUCACCGCCGUGUGUCAUAGUGGAGGAUGGCAUCAGCCGCUCACACAGGACACAGAUCCAGUCCCAACAAACAGAACCGCACCAGGUGAGUGACCUGGAGGAGGACCUUAUCCGAUCUGAGACUGAAACAACUUCCACAAACAAACUUCACUCAAGUGUUUGUACCAUUUGUUGCAACAAAAUGGUGGCGCAGCUGACGCCGUGCUGUGGGUCGGCCCGUCAAAACCAGUGUUGGGCUCACGCUAUUGUUCAGCUGAAACAUUAAUACCCACAGGAUGCAACAGAACCUCAUUCCUGGAUCACACACUGCUGUGGAGGAAGAUGGAGGAGGAAGAGCUGAGUUCUGACCUGCUUUCUACUGAGGGAAGUGACACUUCCUGUGUGACCAGCGCCAAAAGCUUUGAUCUGCUGGAUGGACGGGCGGAGGGGGCGGGGCUACGCUCCCAGCCUCAGCCUCAGCCUCAGCCUCAGCCUCAGCCUCAGCCUCAGCCUCAGCCUCAGCCUUAUCCUCAGCCUCAGCCUUAUCCUUAUCCUCAGCCUCAUCCUCAUCCUCAACCUCAUCCUCAGCCUUAGCCUUAUCCUUAUCCUCAGCCUUAGCCUUAGCCUCAGCCUUAGCCUUAGCCUUAGCCUCAGCCUUAGCCUUAGCCUCAGCCUUAGCCUUAUCCUCAACCUCAACCUCAGCCUUAGCCUUAGCCUCAGCCUUAGCCUUAGCCUCAGCCUUAGCCUUAGCCUCAGCCUCAGCCUCAGCCUCAUCCUCAGCCUCAGCCUUAUCCUCAGGCUUAGCCUCAGCCUCAGCCUUAGCCUCAGCCUCAGCCUCAGCCUCAGCCUCAGCCUCAACCUCAGCCUCAGCCUUAUCCUUAUCCUCAGCCUUAUCCUCAUCCUCAUCCUCAGCCUCAUCCUCAGCCUCAGCCUUAUCCUCAGCCUUAUCCUCAGCGUUAUCCUCAGCCUUAUCCUUAGCCUCAGCCUCGGCCUCGGCCUCAGCCUUAUCCUCAGGCUUAGCCUCAGCCUCAGCCUCAGCUUCAGCCUUAUUCUCAGCCUCAGCGUUAUACUGAGCCUCAGCCUUAGCCUCAGCCUCAGCUUCAGCCUCAGCGUUAUCCUUAACCUCAGCCUUAGCCUUAGCCUUAGCCUCAGCCUCAGCCUCAGCCUUAGCCUUAGCCUCAGCCUCAGCCUUAGCCUCAGCCUCAGCCUCAGCCUCAGCUUCAGGCUCAGUCUUAUCCUUAGCCUCAGCCUCAGCCUCAGCCUUAGCCUUAUCCUCAUCCUCAGCCUUAGCCUUAGCCUUAUCCUCAGCCUUAGCCUUAGCCUCAGCCUCAGCCUCAGCCUCAGCCUCAGCUUCAGGCUCAGUCUUAUCCUUAGCCUCAGCCUCAGCCUCAGCCUCAACCUCAACCUCAGCCUCAGCCUCAGCCUUAGCCUUAUCCUCAGCCUCAGCCUCAGCCUCAGCCUUAUCCUCAGCCUCAGCCUCAUCCUCAGCCUCAGCCUUAUCCUUAUCCUCAGCCUCAUCUUCAUCCUCAACCUCAACCUCAGCCGUAGCCUUAGCCUUAGCCUUAUCCUCAGCCUUAGCCUUAGCCUCAGCCUCAGCCUUAGCCUUAGCCUUAGCCUUAGCCUUAGCCUCAGCCUCAGCCUUAGCCUUAUCCUCAACCUCAACCUCAGCUUCAGCCUUAUCCUCAGCCUCAGCGUUAUACUGAGCCUCAGCCUUAGCCUCAGCCUCAGCUUCAGCCUCAGCGUUAUCCUUAACCUCAGCCUUAGCCUUAGCCUUAGCCUCAGCCUCAGCCUUAGCCUUAGCCUCAGCCUCAGCCUCAGCCUUAGCCUUAGCCUUAGCCUCAGCCUCAGCCUUAGCCUUAGCCUCAGCCUCAGCCUCAGCCUUAGCCUUAGCCUUAGCCUUAGCCUUAUCCUCAGCCUCAGCCUUAGCCUCAGCCUCAGCCUCAGCCUCAGCCUCAGCUUCAGCCUUAUCCUCAGCCUCAGCGUUAUACUGAGCCUCAGCCUUAGCCUCAGCCUCAGCUUCAGCCUCAGCGUUAUCCCUAACCUCAGCCUUAGCCUCAGCCUUAGCCUUAGCCUCAGCCUCAGCCUUAGCCUCAGCCUCAGCCUCAGCCUCAGCCUUAGCCUUAUCCUCAGCCUUAGCCUUAUCCUCAGCCUUAGCCUUAUCCUCAGCCUUAGCCUUAGCCUCAGCCUCAGCCUUAGCCUCAGCCUCAGCCUUAGCCUCAGCCUCAGCCUCAGCCUCAGCAGCGUGGAGGCCUCAGGUCACAGCCAGACCCGGACAAACACCAGCAGCAGAGUUCAGCGUUAGUGACGUCAGGCUGUGACAGAUGAAGGGAGGAAUUACGGCUCAAAUUAAAGAGCUCCAACUGCAGCUUCACCCGGCGCCGAUGUUUCUGUCUACAAACCCUGCUGCCUUUCAAGGAAGGACCUUGAAAACAUGGGUGUCUUCAAAGGCCUUUUUCAGAGACACAAGGUCUCUCUCUGCCACGGGUUUUGUGCUGUGGAGAAAAGCAGUAAUGGGAGAGGGAAUGCUUCAGCUUCUCCUUUCAAAGAAAGUCACAUAUUUCUAAAUGAAAGGCCUUUGGCAACAAGGCUGCAAUCAUGUUGCUCUGAAAAGGCUGUCUGCCCUUUGGCCUCAGGUAUCUCUUAUAGACGCGCAGGACGAGGAAGGAGCCGACAAAUGAGAAAAAGCUCUGCUGGCUCCUCUUCAUUCCCCGCCUGCUCCUUCCUCUGCUCCUUCUCCUUCAGCGAAUCCGUCCAUUAUCCAUCUAAUCACCCAUCGCACAUAUUUGAGCAGGAGUUAGCGGCUAAUGCCGGAGCAUUGUUUCCCACGCUGCACAUCCAGGGGUUAACAGCAGCGUAGGAGUAGUUUCGAUCCGUCAGGCUGCAGGCUGCGGUCCCACAGGUGGCGCUGUGCAACAAGCCAGCGGAACCGGAACCAGAAGCAUGCGUGUUAAAGGGCCCAUAUCAUGCAAAAUCCACUUUUUAGACAUUUUGGAGCGUCCCUAUGACUCUAUGGGUCACAUAUACACACACUGAGCACGGUAGAAAUGCAUUUCCUGCUUUUUUCACAUUUUGAAAACGUAAAUUUUCUCAUCCAAUGAAAACAGCCACGACCUACUCUGAGGCCGUUCCCCGGGUUUCGUCAUACUGGUUGAAAGUUCUCCUUGCAAAUCCUGAACCACCACUCCCACAAUGAUCCCGAACCAAAACUGGACUUCCGCCAUUUCCCCCCUCUCACUCACCGUGAACAGACCAGCACGGCAGCGCCCAAGUCCUCCCAUAGAAAUAGUUCGGUUCUUGGGUGUUCUACCAACACCAAAGUCUAUUCACUUUAACAAGGGAUCAACAAGUGAGGAUUUGUGGGUCACUUUUAUUUUUAACGGACCGGUGCCAGAAACACUGCCUCAGCAUUUAUACGUAUGUGCAUUUCAAACGAGGGUGCGUACAAUGCUGGAUUUGUUUCACGGCUCCUGUUGGAAAAAAAGGACCUAUUCCUACAGUCCGUCAUCCACUCACUGAAGUAAGUACAUGCUUGAUAUUUAUAAUGUUUUAAAAUGUUAGUUUGUCCGUUUAAAAUAUAGUAACCUAUGUGUGAGUCAAGUUACUAGCUAGCUAUGCUAACGGCUACAGCCAGUCGACCGAGCCUUUGUCCCCUUCAAAUGUGCUCAUGUGGGCUCCUGCAGCCACACCUGUGUGGAGAAAAGCUAAUGAUUAUCGUAACGGCGUCGAGCGGCUACAGGCAGGGAGCGGUGGGUCUAGCGUCUGUCCUUUUUCUGUAAUCGCAUACACCUGCGGGGAACAGCUGAUCGUUAUCGCCCUUCCAGCGGCGACAGACAGGAAGCGGUGGAUCUAGCUCGCUGUAGUAAGUUUGUGCUUGAUACUUGUGAUAUCUAAAUAUGUUAGUUGGGUCUGUUUAAAAUGCAGUUACCCACAUGUGAGACAAGCUAAUCGCUAGCAUCGCUAACGGCUACAGUGAGUCAACUGAGCCUUUGUCCCUUUCAAAUGUGCUACUCUGAGUUGGGCGCAAUCACACACCUGUGUGGGGAACAGCUAAUAGCGAUGGGCCUUCGAUCGGCGACAGGCAGGAAGCGGUGGAUCGAGCUUUUGUCCUGUUGACGUGCUGCCGCUCCUGUUUGUGUUGCGUUAGCCGUUAGCAUGUCUUUAGGCCUUUGCACUUUAGAGCGACAGCUGGUCGAUCGCUACAAAAAGAACCUGCAGAUGAACACGGCUAUGUUUGUUAUUAACCCGUCCUGUCCAGCCUAAAUCAACUUGUGAUUUGGGGUUAUGUCAUUGUUCUAUCAACAACAUGAUUAGUUGGAAUGAUUACUGUGUUGUGUUUCAAGCUUAGUUGCUAAUUAGUCACAUCUCUACAAUACCUGCUGCUUAUCUGGUCAGUUACCGAU